rnacentral:snRNA from 1 species
UCAGCUCAGAACUGGUACGGA